UGGGGAAUUUUCCGCAAUGGGGGGAACCCUGACGGAGCAACGCCGCGUGCGGGAGGACGGCCUGUGGGUUGUAAACCGCUUUUCUCUAGGAAGAAGAUCUGACGGUACUAGAGGAAUCAGCAUCGGCUAACUCCGUGCCAGCAGCCGCGGUAAGACGGAGGAUGCAAGCGUUAUCCGGAAUUAUUGGGCGUAAAGCGUCCGUAGGCGGUUUAUCAAGUCAGUUGUUAAAGACUGCAGCUCAACUGUGGGCGAGCAACUGAAACUGAUUAACUAGAGUGCGGUAGGGGUAGAGGGAAUUCCCAGUGUAGCGGUGAAAUGCGUAGAUAUCAGGAAGAACACCGGUGGCGAAAGCGCUCUGCUAGGCCGUAACUGACACUGAGGGACGAAAGCUAAGGGAGCGAAUGGGAUUAGAUACCCCCGUAGUCC
rnacentral:rRNA from 1 species